rnacentral:rRNA from 1 species
GAUGAACGCUGGCGGCGUGCCUAAUACAUGCAAGUCGAGCGAAUGGAUUAAGAGCUUGCUCUUAUGAAGUUAGCGGCGGACGGGUGAGUAACACGUGGGUAACCUGCCCAUAAGACUGGGAUAACUCCGGGAAACCGGGGCUAAUACCGGAUAACAUUUUGAACCGCAUGGUUCGAAAUUGAAAGGCGGCUUCGGCUGUCACUUAUGGAUGGACCCGCGUCGCAUUAGCUAGUUGGUGAGGUAACGGCUCACCAAGGCAACGAUGCGUAGCCGACCGGAGAGGGGGAUCGGACACACUGGGACUGAGAUACCGCCCAGACUCCUACGGGCGGCAGCAGUAGGGAAUCUUCCGCAAUGGACGAAAGUCUGACGGAGCAACGCCGCGUGAGUGAUGAAGGCUUUCGGGUCGUAAAACUCUGUUGUUAGGGAAGAACAAGUGCUAGUUGAAUAAGCUGGCACCUUGACGGUACCUAACCAGAAAGCCACGGCUAACUACGUGCCAGCCGCCGCAGUAA